GACGAACGCUGGCGGCGUGCUUAACACAUGCAAGUCGAACGGAAAGGCCCUGCUUUUGUGGGGUGCUCGAGUGGCGAACGGGUGAGUAACACGUGAGUAACCUGCCCUUGACUUUGGGAUAACUUCAGGAAACUGGGGCUAAUACCGGAUAGGAGCUCCUGCUGCAUGGUGGGGGUUGGAAAGUUUCGGUGGUUGGGGAUGGACUCGCGGCUUAUCAGCUUGUUGGUGGGGUAGUGGCUUACCAAGGCUUUGACGGGUAGCCGGCCUGAGAGGGUGACCGGCCACAUUGGGACUGAGAUACGGCCCAGACUCCUACGGGAGGCAGCAGUGGGGAAUAUUGCACAAUGGGCGGAAGCCUGAUGCAGCAACGCCGCGUGCGGGAUGACGGCCUUCGGGUUGUAAACCGCUUUCGCCUGUGACGAAGCGUGAGUGACGGUAAUGGGUAAGGAAGCACCGGCUAACUACGUG
rnacentral:rRNA from 1 species